rnacentral:lncRNA from 1 species
AAAGCUGUUUCUAGCCCUUGUGCAGUUUCUCUUUGGUCGCAUCUACUUCUUGCGAGGUUGCUUUGGAUUGAAUAUGUUUCAUGUAUUCAAACAAAGAACAAUUGUUAGGUUGAAACAUUGAUUGGUUUUGUGGCAUUGAUUGUUUUGAUCCCUGCUCAGCUUCUUUGAUGAAGAUCUCAAUUGCAACUGCUCAUUUCCUAGGGACCAAUUUCAUUUUAGGCCCUUAGAACCUCUGUUUUUUUUUCUAGAUUUUUCCAUGACAGUUGGUCAGUGGAACUCAACCUUUUCGACUUUAUUAAGCCUUCGUAGACCUUUCCUUUCUGACAUUCUUUCUUUUUCUCUCUAUUUUUUUGUUUUUUUUAAAUUCUUCUUUUCUUCUGAACAUUGGGGAACUUUUGGCUCCUCG